rnacentral:rRNA from 1 species
UACAGAGGGUGCAAACGUUGCUCGGAAUCAUUGGGCGUAAAGCGCGCGUAGGCGGACCUGCAAGUCGGGGGUGAAAGCCCGAGGCUCAACCUCGGAACUGCCUUCGAUACUGCGGGUCUCGAGUCCGGGAGAGGUGAGUGGAAUUCCUAGUGUAGAGGUGAAAUUCGUAGAUAUUAGGAAGAACACCAGUGGCGAAGGCGGCUCACUGGCCCGGUACUGACGCUGAGGCGCGAAAGCGUGGGGAGCAAACAGG